rnacentral:rRNA from 1 species
GGACGAACGCUGGCGGCGUGCUUAACACAUGCAAGUCGAACGGAAAGGCCCUGCUUUUGUGGGGUGCUCGAGUGGCGAACGGGUGAGUAACACGUGAGUAACCUGCCCUUGACUUUGGGAUAACUUCAGGAAACUGGGGCUAAUACCGGAUAGGAGCUCCUGCUGCAUGGUGGGGGUUGGAAAGUUUCGGCGGUUGGGGAUGGACUCGCGGCUUAUCAGCUUGUUGGUGGGGUAGUGGCUUACCAAGGCUUUGACGGGUAGCCGGCCUGAGAGGGUGACCGGCCACAUUGGGACUGAGAUACGGCCCAGACUCCUACGGGAGGCAGCAGUGGGGAAUAUUGCACAAUGGGCGGAAGCCUGAUGCAGCAACGCCGCGUGCGGGAUGACGGCCUUCGGGUUGUAAACCGCUUUCGCCUGUGACGAAGCGUGGGUGACGGUAAUGGGUAAAGAAGCACCGGCUAACUACGUG